GAAGAAAGAAAGACUGCAUGCAGAAAUACCAACUUUUAGGAGUGAAAUGGAUGAUUUUCAAAGUAUUAUUUUGACUCCCAUUAGAAAAAAACAAUCAAAUACUUCAAAUAGAGAUGGACAUAGUAAAAAUGCUGGGUUGACUGAUGACUGUAACUUGAUACCUACGUAUAAAAAGUCUUUCCAAAAAAGCCGAGAUCCUAACUUCAAGAGGCAGAGAAUCAAAAAAAUGUGCAACCAGGAAUGUCCGCGCUUAAAAGAAAAUCAUGUGUAUUCAACUGACAGAGAUGAGGUUAGUUAUGCAAAGCCUAAUCAUACACUCACCUAUUUAUAAAUGUCCAAAGAAAAUCACUGUGAAUUGCAUAAAUUCUUUUUAAGUCACCUUUAACAGGAGCCUGGUAGCAAAGUGGACCUUCUUAGAGAUAUUCCUCUGUUAAUUCUACUCCAGUCAUAUUGAUUUAUUCCUGAAAUGAAGUAAGCAUUUUCAACUGACAGUCCUUUCUAAAUAAAAGAUAUGGAGGUAUGCUUUUUCUGCAUUAAAGAAAACGUGCAUGGAAAUAACAGAAAUAUGCUAAAAAUUUGAACUAUGUAGGCACAACAGAAAUGAAGGUAUGGAAAAGUACUGUAUUUCAGUAAGUGGGUGACAGUGGAGAAACUGCGAAGAACCAUUGCUAUCUUGACAAAGCGAUCAUUUCUUUAGAACUGCUUCAGAUUGUAUUGACAGUAAUAAUGUGUUAUUUCUAAACGCAAAACAGUGUGCAAAUUUACAUAAUUUUUAAUUCCACCAAAAUAAAUAUUUGCAGAACAAUGAAAAAUGUUCCCUGUACACAAACACAAAAACUUUAAACAAGAGAAGAACCCGAAAAGAUUUUACAGCUGAAGAAAUAAACUAUCUUUUGAGUGGAGUGAGAAGAAUAGGUAACCAUUGGAAUGUAAUUUUGUGGUCUUAUCCAUUUCAGAAAGGACGGACAAAUGUUGACCUUUCAAAGAAGUACUACAGGUUACAGUUGCAAAGGCGAGAAAAAACCAAAGAUCAAUAACGCCUUUCAAGAGUAUUUUGGAUCUUGUUGCAGAACGUUGAAGAACAGCAUUUUUAACAGUGACGCACUGUCGCAGCAAUACAAGCCCUUGGAGAAUUUAGAUUGGCUUGGACUCCUGUUUUCAGUGAUAACAUUCAUGACAGAGUUGUUCCGCUUUGUAAAUUGAAGUAACAUGUCAUUGCCUACGUUUGUUAUUUUGGCGGGGGGUUUUGCCUGCCCUUUUUUUUUUUUUUUUUUUUUUGAUAAUGCUGUGUAGCUGACAAAAUACCAGUAGAAUUUAUGAGGUUCUUUGAACCUUCUUGAAUGUUUGAUUUAUGUAACAUUGAUUUGGCUUUUUGUUUGAAGCUCUCUAUAGUUUGCUUUUAUAACAUUUGUAAGAAAAGGCUCUAUUACUAAAAUGAUUAUUUUAUGUCAGAAA
rnacentral:lncRNA from 1 species